rnacentral:lncRNA from 1 species
AUCACUCCUUUGUAUAUAUGAAGAUGAAAAUUCCUUGAAAUAAUUAUCCAGAAUUUCUUUAAAAGCAUUCCUCAAUGGUUUUAUGGGUGCUGUAUUUGAAGAAGAUUAAAAUAGAAACUUUAUUUUAAAGCUAUGACUCCAUCUCUUAGAAUGCAGCGUCUCUGAGAAAGGAACUUCUAAACUGACUUCUGCUUUGGGCUAAAAUAUUUACCCAUAUAAGCCAAUGAUAGUAUAGAGAUUUAACAGUAUUUAAAUUUGGGCCAUAGAUGAAAAUGAAUUCUACUUUUGACUAGUAACUAUUCUUGAUCCAUCCUUUGCUUUUGUUUGAGAGAAUAUUAUCUCUAUUUGAGAACAACAUGGAAGGCAUUGAAACUAGUUUUCCACAAAGGCCAGAGGACAAAAAUAUUUAUUUCCUUAGUUGAUUCCUUAUCAGUUGACCUGGUCGCACCUUUAAUUUAAUUGAUAUUAUUAUUACGUUUGCCUUGCAAGUUCUCAGAUAUCUCCAACCUUUUGUGUUGUCAUUCAUCGACUACGGGAAUAUUCUCAAUGAAAUGUCCUUGAUGGUCUCUCUGGUUCUUAUUCUAGUCAUGAAAAGGAAAAGACAAAAAGAUAGCAAAUCUUAAAACUAGUCAUCGGCCGGGUGUGGUGGCUCACGCCUGUAAUCCCAGCACUUUGGGAGGCCGAGGCGGGUGGAUCACUUGAGCUCAGGAGUUUCAGCCCAGCCUGGGCAACAUGGUUGAAACCCUGUCUCUAUCAAAAAUGCAAAAACUUAGCCGGGUUUGGUGGUGCAUAUCUGUGGUCUCAGCUACUUGUGAGGCUGAAAUGGGAGAAUCUCUUGAGUGGCGGGGGUUGUGGGGGAGGUUGCAGUGAGCCUAGAUCACGCCACUGCACUCCAGCCUGGGUGACAGAGUGAGAUUCCAUCUCAAAAAAAUUUUUUAAAAUAAAUAAAUAAAAACAUUUUCAUUCUUUUUAUCUUAAAACUUGGAAGAAACAUUAGAUACAAUAAUACUUUCAUUAGUCAAUUAGAGAAAACUUUAAGUAAUAGGCUUUGACUAUUCAGUAGUAGUGAAAAGUAAAACAAAUAUUGAACUCUAAAGAAAAAUGUUAUUUACAGAAAUCUAUAAAAUAAACUUUAAAAUGUAUUUACUUAUUAUAUAUCAGUUCUAACCUUAAUUACAAAAUCAAUGCAGAGCACCAUUUCAAUGAUAUAUUAUAACUAAAGAGAACUGAUCAUAAACAACUGUUACAUUAUCCAAAAAUAUUUUCAGUAAUUCAAACAUGCAACUUGAAUAGUUGUUGAGUGACACAAACUUGAAGUAACUAAAAUUAUUUUUUUAAAUGCACUGGCUCUUUUGACAUGUAAAUACAGAAAUAGUCUCAUAUUCAAGGAUGGAACAAAUACACAAAAAUGGAAUUUCAUGGACUCUCAACACUAGUUUGUGACCUCUGAAAUGAGAGACCAUAUUUUAUUAUUAUUUUUAUUUAUUUCAUCUCUUGUUAUUCAAAACUAUGAAUUGAGUGUAUUUUUUGCAGAAAAUUAUACUCAUCAUUUAUGAUGCUCAGAUUAAAUAAUUACUUUUUUGUUUUGUUUUGUUUUGCUUUUUAAGACAUAGUCUUGCUCUGUCUCCCAGGCUGGAGUGCAGUGGCCUGAUCUCAGCUCACUGCAACCUCCGCCUCCUGGGUUCAAGAGAUUCUCCUGUCUCAGCCUCCUGAGGGACUAUAGUCAUGUGCCACCACACCCGGCUAAUUUUUGUAUUUUUAGUAGAAACGGGGUUUCGCCAUUUUGACCAGGCUGUUCUCAAACUCCUGACCUCAGGUGAUCCACCUGCCUCAGCCUCCCAAAGUGCUGGGAUUACAGGCGUGAGCCAGCGCACCUGGCCAAAUAAUUAGUUUUUUUACACAAAUUUAAUUAUCCAAAGAAACUGCUGAGUUAUCUUCCAGAUUGUUAUCAUGACUGUGUUUACAUGAUACCAAAACAUAUGGAGGCAAAAUAGAAUUUUUUACUACAUAUAGGGAUAUUUUGCUGACCUGACAGAAUUAUUUGACUACAUAAAGACACAGAAUUUAGUACUACAGAAUGAUAUUGUAAAUAGUUUCAUUUUCGAUAGAAAAAAGAGUUUUACAUGCUAUAUAAAGUUGUCAUUAUCUGAAUCUAGAAUAACUGAUAACAGUUAACAACAGAAUUCCACACAGUGCUGCAAUUCAAUUUUACAUUUAUACAUUUUAGUUGUGUAUAAAGACAUACACUUAUUUAUUUCAAAAUGCACACAAAUUAAAGAAAUGAGAGGGAAUGUACACUUAAAUCUUUUUAGGUGUCUGAACUGAAAGAUAGAUGUCUAGAAGUUAAUAUACCUAAUUGUGUGUCUAGAGGAAAUGUCAUAUUAAUUUGAUGUUUAAGCAGUUCUAAUGUAUUGGUAUUAAAAUGGGUUAGUGUAUGUGUGAGCACAGAUAUGUUUGCAUAUAUGUGUGCAUAUUUAUGUUUCUCAAAUUUCUAGCAGAAAAAAGUAAUAUAAACUUCAAACUAAAGAAAGCUUGUUAAAAGAUUUUGCAUCUACAUUUACAAUGUUAUUGUCCCCUUUUACACCAUUAUGCCUCGUUUCUAAACUAUAAUCAUCCAGUAUCCCUGAUAUCAUCCCAUAUAUAAUCUUUCAUUUAGAAAAUCCUUGUCAUAUCCAGUACAUUCUGUAUGUGUCCUCAUGUUUUUUUCUUUUAAAAAAAUUAUUUGUCUGUUUCCCAAAUGAUCACAGAUCCAGUAAUGUUAAAGUACAUAUAAAAAAUUAAAUUGAUUUUUGUUAUCUAAGUACUAGUACAGAUUCUGCUUCUCUUGCACACACACACAAAUAAAGACAAAUUUGCUUUCCAUAAUAGCCAACUUCUGCCCAGUUGUUAUAACUAAAAUAUAUCCAAGUAAAAGUCCAUUAAAACAAUCCUCUUUAUUUUGCAUUGUUACAUUACUUAAUUUUAAUAAUUAUGAAAAUAAAAAGAAAGAAGUAGUUCUCUGUUAGUCUUCUGUACAAUGUCAGAUUUGCUGUUUCAUGUGUCUUCAACUUUAUGGGUUUAAUUUAUGUCUUCAUCAAAUGGCUAUGGUAUGGAUUUACCAUAAUUAUAUACAUGCGUACAUGCCUACCUAUGUAUAUAUAAACAAACAUUUUUGUAAACAGCUCAGUGAGGACUUUGGACUGGCAUAAAUCAUAGGAAUAUGAUUAUGAGGAUACAUCCAAUUUUCAGAUUGGGCAAUGUAUACAGUUUAUUAUCAUUUCUGAUUUUGAGUAGAGUUAGUACUAAGAACAGCAUUGAAGAAAAGCAGUAUAACAUUAAAAUUAAGAAGAUUUAAAAUACAAGAGGAUUCAUAACAGUCACUUUUAAAAUAUUGUUUUGGCUUUCUACUUUGGAGCUGUAAUUUUAAAAAACCAAUGAACAGGUUUUUGUAUGAAUAUGUUAGAAUGACUAAUUAUAGAGCAUCUUUCAACUGGAAUACAUGUAGAUACUAACACCUGGUUGUAUUUGAUGUAAUUUCAGUGCAUACAGUGUGUGUAAUCUGUAUUAAGUGAAAUACUUAUGAAUAAAGUUGUUUCUGCAUUGCAAUAACACAUCUUCUGAUAUUUUUUGAAGUGCUUCUUGUCAGCAGGGGCUACUAGUUUCAUUAACAUCAUCAAGGAUCCUAAAAUAUUUUUAG